GAUGAACGCUGGCGGCGUGCCUAAUACAUGCAAGUCGAACGAACAGACGCGGCUCUUGCUCCUCUGACGUUAGCGGCGGACGGGUGAGUCACACGUGGAUCACCUCCCUAUCAUACUGGGAUAACUUCGGGACACCGGCGCUAAUACCGUAUAAUAUCUUGCUCCGCAUUGUUCAUUAGUGAAAGUCGGUUUUGCUGUCACUUAUAGAUGGAUCCGCGCUGCAUUAGAUAGUUGUUACGGUAACGGCUUACCACGGCAAGGAUGCGUAGCCGACGUGAGAGAGUGAUAGGCGACACGGGAAGUGAGACACGGUCAAGACGACUAAGGGAGGCAGCAGUAGGGAAUCUUACGCAAUGGGCGAAAGCAUGACGGAGCAACGCCGCGUGAGUGAUGAAGGUCUUGGGAUCGUAAAAAUCUGUUAUGAGGGAAGAACAAAUGUGGAAGGAAAUAUGCACGGCGUGACGGUAACUAAUAAGAAAGCCACGGCUAACUACGUG
rnacentral:rRNA from 1 species